rnacentral:lncRNA from 1 species
CCUCAAGAAAUACUUUCUCUAAAUGCUUUAUAAGAAUAUCAAGUAUCUUUCUAAAGGAUAGGAGAUCCUACUAGAUUGAUGAGAUAGAGAAAGUACUAUAUAUACUGGCUCAUCUUAAAUAGAUUGUAUAGGUCUUGUGACUCAUUGUUCUUUAGAGACUUUCUCUUUGAGUUCAUCCUCCCACUAUUUCUAAGAAAAU